AGAGUUUGAUCAUGGCUCAGGAUGAACGCUGGCGGCGUGCUUAACACAUGCAAGUCGAACGAACCUUCGGGUUAGUGGCGGACGGGUGAGUAACGCGUGAGAAUCUGCCCUCAGGAGGGGGAUAACGGUUGGAAACGACCGCUAAUACCCCAUAUGCCUACUGGUGAAACGAAUUUCGCCUGAGGAUGAGCUCGCGUCUGAUUAGCUAGUUGGUGAGGUAAUGGCUCACCAAGGCUUCGAUCAGUAGCUGGUCUGAGAGGAUGAUCAGCCACACUGGGACUGAGACACGGUCCAGACUCCUACGGGAGGCAGCAGUGGGGAAUUUUCCGCAAUGGGCGAAAGCCUGACGGAGCAACGCCGCGUGAGGGACGAAGGCCUCUGGGCUGUAAACCUCUUUUCUCAAGGAAGAAGAUAUGACGGUACUUGAGGAAUAAGCCACGGCUAAUUCCGUGCCAGCCGCCGCGGUAAUAC
rnacentral:rRNA from 1 species